CGUCACUACUUUACCCCUAACAGCGUUAAAAACGCUUACGUGGCCAAUUGCGUGUACAAAACCAGACACAUCAUUUAGCCCAGGUAAGUUUUUAAUUAUUGAUUGAAAAAAAAAAAGCUUUAAAUCCUUAAAUACCAUAUGCACGAGAGAUCUCCAUUGUAGAAGAAGAAGAAGAAGAAGAGAGAAGAGAUGAAAGGGGAAGACCCAAGUGUGUCUUGGGGCGAAUCAAUAAACCGAGGUGGAGCCAAAAUGAGGUCGUCGAGAUCUAGGGCACAAGGUGUAUAUCAAGCUUGUCGUAAGCAUUGUGAUUGUGGGGCAGAAACAGUGGAGAGGACAUCAUGGACCGAUGAUAAUCCAGGGAGAUGGUUCAAAUCUUGCUAUAGGAUGAAAUGGAAUGGGGGUUGUAACUAUUUCCAAUGGAUUGACCCCCCUAUGUGUGAAAGGUCAAAGAUGGUGAUACCUGGUUCGCUAAGAAGAGUACGUGAGUUUGAUGGUGAUCUGGGCAGAUAUUAUGAAUAUGAAGAUAGAUAUGAGUCUUGCUUUGAACCUAGUGUGGAGUCUUUUCAAUGUCAAAAUUGUGGCUAUAUGAAUGGGAGUUUGGAUGGAAGAGUUCAUGCAAGUUCCUGGUUGGUAAAGGGAAAUGUGAGGAAGAUGAUGUUUUUUUUUUUUUAUGUAAUUGUGUAUUGGCUGAAAAAAAUUAUGUAAUGUUCGACUUCACUGUUUAUUGUAUUUAAUGUUGCUUUCAAGCAUAAUAAAAAUUAUGUAUUUUAUUUAGUGUUCGACCCUUCUCUGAAAAAAAAAAUCAGGGCUUCAUUGAAUGUAAAAGAGAUAUAUUUAUUUAGUGUUGCUUUCAAGCAUAAUAGAAUGAUGCACCAAACCAGAUAUUUUGUCAUUGA